rfam:Firmicutes bacterium ML8_F2 scaffold_57, whole genome shotgun sequence.
CGCGGGGUGGAGCAGUCUGGUAGCUCGUCGGGCUCAUAACCCGGAGGUCGCAGGUUCAAAUCCUGCCCCCGCAA